AGCAGCCGCGGUAAUUCCAGCUCCAAUAGCGUAUAUUAAAGUUGUUGCAGUUAAAAAGCUCGUAGUUGAACUUCGGGGUCUACCCAUUGGUCAGGCUUAAUUGUCUGUACUGGUGAGAUGGAUCUCUACCUUCUGAGGAACUUUCAUGCCAUUUAUUUGGUGUGAUUGGAAAUCAGGACUGUUACUUUGAAAAAUUAGAGUGUUUAAAGCAGACUAUCGUCUGAAUACAUUAGCAUGGAAUAAUGAAAUAGGACGGACUGAUUCUAUUUCGUUGGUUUCUAGGAUCACCGUAAUGAUUAAUAGGGAUAGUUGGGGGCAUUAGUAUUCAAUUGUCUAGAGGUGAAAUUCUUGGAUUUAUUGAAGACUAACUACUGCGAAAGCAUUUGCCAAGGAUGUUUUCAUUAAUCAAGAACGAAAGUUAGGGGAUCGAAGACGAUCAGAUACCGUCGUAGUCUUAAACCAUAAACUAUGCCGACUUAGGGAUCGGACGAAGUUAAUUUUAUAAUGAACGCGUUC
rnacentral:rRNA from 1 species